rnacentral:rRNA from 1 species
GCUUGUCUCAAAGAUUAAGCCAUGCAUGUCUAAGAAUAAACCCCAGAAUGGUGAAUCUGCGAAUGGCUCAUUAAAUCAGUUAUUGUUUAUUUGAUGGUACCUUACUACAUGGAUAACCGUGGUAAUUCUAGAGCUAAUACAUGCUAUCAAGCCCGACUUCUUGAAGGGUUGUAUUUAUUAGACUUAAGCCAAUAUUCCUUGUGUCUAUUGCGAUGAUUCAUAAUAACUGAUCGAAUCUCAAAUUUGAGAUAAAUCAUUCAAGUUUCUGCCCUAUCAGCUUUCGAUGGUAGUGUAUUGGACUACCAUGGCAGUAACGGGUAACGAAGAAUUAGGGUUCGAUUUCGGAGAGGGAGCAUGAGAAACGGCUACCACAUCUAAGGAAGGCAGCAGG